rnacentral:rRNA from 1 species
UCAGACGGAGGAUCCAAGCGUUAUGCGGAAUGACUGGGCGUAAAGAGUUGCGUAGGCGGCCCUGUAAGUCCGUUGUGAAAGUCAAAGGCUCAACCUUUGAAAGCCGAUGGAUACUGCAGGGCUAGAGUCCGGAAGAGGCGAGUGGAAUUCCUGGUGUAGCGGUGGAAUGCGCAGAUAUCAGGAGGAACACCAAUAGCGAAGGCAGCUCGCUGGGACGGUACUGACGCUAAGGCGCGAAAGCGUGGGGAGCGAACAGG